UUCACAAUUUAUCGUCAACUACAAGUUUAAAUCAAUUAAGAAUCAAUACUAUGAUCUAAUAACCAACAAAUAAUAACUUAAUCGAGUUAUGCAAUAGAUUAUUUGAGUUUAUUUUGUCACAACCUGAAAGAUACAGGUCGCGGCAGUGACAGUUAGCAAUUAUGGACUGAACUAUCAGAAUCUAAAAGUUCUAUAAUCGUAACAUAGUUUAUAGAGGCUUAGGUACUGAUUUGCAAUACUGGAAGUACAGUGACCAAAAUGUGAUCAUUGAAACUUCUAAGCACCGCCGCCUAUUGACCAUCGUCGUUGACCCCAUGAACAUGGCAUCUGGCGGCUCUUUCCAAAUUCCGGCGAACAUGGUAAACCUUUGUUACUAAUCGAAGUUCGAAAUUAAACUCAAGUGUUAGUUUUCUGACCUUCAUACGAAGUUAACCGCAUGAUAUGGAGGGCUUAGAGGUCCGGUAAGACUGACCUUAGAGUCUGGAAGUGAGAAGACGCUGCCGCUGCCACUGCCGCUGCCGGUUCGACGAACCUACAUCUUGAUGCCAUCGAAGAAAAGGGAGUUGAGUUAAUCCAAGGAAGGAAACGGAUUUGGAGGAUUAGAAGAACGUUACCCUUACCUACUAAGCCUGAAAACUAGACCUCUCGGGGAGGGAUCUGACUUAUGGGCAUGUAGUACUUUGCGGAGGAACGAACAGGACGAUUAGUUGUGAUUAGGGUUAAAGAAUCAGCUGACACCCAUCAGCUCUAUACUGACCACCUAGUGCGAACAACCGAGACAAACAUCUUAAUUACACAUACAAAAUUAUGGCAUGAGUUAAUU
rnacentral:lncRNA from 1 species